rfam:Streptomyces albolongus strain YIM 101047, complete genome.
CUUGAGGGAGCCGAGCAGCAGGGGCCGGUCGGCGGGCCGGUCCUGGCCGUACGUGGCCAGCAGCGCCUGGGCCUC